rnacentral:tRNA from 1 species
GCGCUGGUAGCUCAGCUGGAUAGAGCAGCCGGUUUCUACCCGGCAGGUCGAGGGUUCGACUCCCCCUCAGCGCACUA